GGAAUUGUGGCUCAGUGGUAGAGUGCUCACCUAGCAUUCGUGAGGCACUGAGUUUGAUCCUCAGCACCA
rnacentral:tRNA from 1 species